rnacentral:rRNA from 1 species
AUUGAACGCUGGCGGCAGGCCUAACACAUGCAAGUCGAACGAGUGGCGGACGGGUGAGCAAGAUCUGGGAAAAUGCCUAAUGGAGGGGGAUAAAUAAUCGAAACGGUAGCUAAUACCGCAUACAAUAAGAUAUGCCCAGAUGGGAGUAGCUAGUUGGUGGGGUAACGCCUCACCAAGGCAACUAUCCCUAGCUGGUGUGAGAGGAUUACCCGCCCCACUGGAAAGUGUACACGGUCCAGCCUCCGACGGGAGGCAGCAGUGGGGAAUAUUGCACACUGGGCGCAAGCCUGCUCCCGCCAUGCCGCGUGUAUGACUACGGCCUUCGGGUUGUACAGUACUUUUAUCGGAGAGGCGUUAUCCGCAGAAGAAGCACCGGCUAACUCCGUGCCAGCAGCCGCGGUAAUUC